rnacentral:rRNA from 1 species
AAUAGAUACCCAGGUAGUCCACGCCCUAAACGAUGUCUACUAGUUGUCGGGUUUUAAUUAACUUGGUAACGCAGCUAACGCGUGAAGUAGACCGCCUGGGGAGUACGGUCGCAAGAUUAAAACUCAAAGGAAUUGACGGGGACCCGCACAAGCGGUGGAUGAUGUGGAUUAAUUCGAUGCAACGCGAAAAACCUUACCUACCCUUGACAUGUCAGGAAUCCUGGAGAGAUCUGGGAGUGCCCGAAAGGGAGCCUGAACACAGGUGCUGCAUGGCUGUCGUCAGCUCGUGUCGUGAGAUGUUGGGUUAAGUCCCGCAACGAGCGCAACCCUUGUCAUUAGUUGCUACGAAAGGGCACUCUAAUGAGACUGCCGGUGACAAACCGGAGGAAGGUGGGGAUGACGUCAAGUCCUCAUGGCCCUUAUGGGUAGGGCUUCACACGUCAUACAAUGGUACAUACAGAGGGCUGCCAACCCGCGAGGGGAGCUAAUCCCAGAAAGUGUAUCGUAGUCCGGAUUGGAGUCUGCAACUCGACUCC